AAACGACUCUCGGCAACGGAUAUCUCGGCUCUCGCAUCGAUGAAGAACGUAGCGAAAUGCGAUACUUGGUGUGAAUUGCAGAAUCCCGUGAACCAUCGAGUUUUUGAACGCAAGUUGCGCCCGAAGCCUUCUGGCCGAGGGCACGUCUGCCUGGGCGUCACGCA
rnacentral:rRNA from 1 species